rnacentral:rRNA from 1 species
AUUGAACGCUGGCGGCAUGCCUUACACAUGCAAGUCGAACGGUAACAGGUUAAGCUGCCGAGUGGCGACCGGGUGAGUAAUGUAUCGGAACGUGCCCAGUCGUGGGGGAUAACUGCUCGAAAGAGCAGCUAAUACCGCAUACGACCUGAGGGUGAAAGCGGGGGAUCGCAAGACCUCGCGCGAUUGGAGCGGCCGAUAUCAGAUUAGGUAGUUGGUGAGGUAAAGGCUCACCAAGCCGACGAUCUGUAGCUGGUCUGAGAGGACGACCAGCCACACUGGGACUGAGACACGGCCCAGACUCCUACGGGAGGCAGCAGUGGGGAAUUUUGGACAAUGGGCGCAAGCCUGAUCCAGCCAUGCCGCGUGCGGGAAGAAGGCCUUCGGGUUGUAAACCGCUUUUGUCAGGGAAGAAAAGGUUCUGGCUAAUACCUGGGACUCAUGACGGUACCUGAAGAAUAAGCACCGGCUAACUACGUG